CGGGGCGUAGCUCAGCUGGCUAAAGCGCUCGGUUCGGGACCGAGAGACCGGCGGUUCAAAUCCGCCCGCCCCGACCA
rnacentral:tRNA from 1 species